rnacentral:rRNA from 1 species
UACGUAGGGUGCAAGCGUUAAUCGGAAUUAUUGGGCGUAAAGGGUGCGCAGGCGGAUGUAUAAGUCAGAUGUGAAAUCCCCGGGCUUAACCUGGGAAUUGCGUCUGAUACUGGUUGGCUUGAAUCCGGGAGAGGGAUGCAGAAUUCCAGGUGUAGCGGUGAAAUGCGUAGAUAUCUGGAGGAAUACCGGUGGCGAAGGCGGCAUCCUGGACCGGCAUUGACGCUGAGGAGCGAAAGCUAGGGGAGCAAACGGG